rnacentral:rRNA from 1 species
AUUGAACGCUGGCGGCAUGCCUUACACAUGCAAGUCGAACGGCAGCACGGGUGCUUGCACCUGGUGGCGAGUGGCGAACGGGUGAGUAAUACAUCGGCACAUGUCCUGUAGUGGGGGAUAGCCCGGCGAAAGCCGGAUUAAUACCGCAUACGAUCUACGGAUGAAAGCGGGGGACCUUCGGGCCUCGCGCCUUGGGGUUGGCCGAUGGCGGAUUAGCUAGUUGGUGGGGUAAAGGCCUACCAAGGCGACGAUCAGUAGCUGGUCUGAGAGGACGACCAGCCACACUGGGACUGAGACACGGCCCAGACUCCUACGGGAGGCAGCAGUGGGGAAUUUUGGACAAUGGGCGAAAGCCUGAUCCAGCAAUGCCGCGUGUGUGAAGAAGGCCUUCGGGUUGUAAAGCACUUUUGUCCGGAAAGAAAUCCUUGGCCCUAAUACGGUCGGGGGAUGACGGUACCGGAAGAAUAAGCACCGGCUAACUACGUG